AUUCAGGCUGUUCACUACGCUACCCGGUAUUGGCCAUGACGACCUUGGGGACCAGCAGUCAGACUGUGACUGAAUAUGUUGUUCGAGUUCCAAAGAACAACCUCAAGAGGUACAAUAUCGUGGCUUUUAAUGCCGCUGACAAAGUCAACUUCUCCACUUGGCAUCAGGCCAAGAUGAAACGGGAUCUGAGCAGCAAGAAGCUCUAUCAGGAGGAAGAGAUGCCAGAAUCUGGGGCUGGCAGUGAGUUUAAUCGGAAGCUCCGGGAUGAGGCCAGGAGCAAGCAUGGCCUUCUCAAAACCUUCAAGGCUGAAGACCAGCCCUGGCUACUCAAAGUCAAUGGCAAAACAGGCAGAAGGUUCAAGGGAAUGAAGAGGGGUGGGGUGACAGAAAACGCCUCGUACUACAUCUUCAUCCAGUGCCCCGACGGGGUCUUCGAAGCCUUCCCCGUGCACAGCUGGUACAACUUCACUCCUCUGGCGCGGCACCGGACACUCACGGCCGAGGAGGCUGAGGAGGAAUGGGAAAAGAGGAACAAAGUCCUGAACCACUUCAGCAUCAUGCAACAGCGGCGGCUGAAGGAUCAGGACCACAGUGAGGAUGAAGAUGAGCAUAAAGAGAAGAGCCGGAAGAAGCCCAGUGAGCUCCGCAUCCACGACCUGGAGAUGAGCUCUGAUGACAGCAAUAGCAGUGGGGAGGAAGGAGAAAAGGUCCCCAAGAGCAAGAAGAAGGCAGGUCCCUCCAGGGGGGGCAAGAAGAAGAAAAAGGACUCUGAUGAUGAGGCCUUUGAGGACAGCGAUGAUGGGGACUUUGAGGGCCAUGAGGUGGACUACAUGUCAGAUGGCUCCAGCAGUUCUGAGGAGGAGGCAGUAGGGAAAGCCAAAGUGGUCCAGCAGGAGGAGGAUGGCCCUAAAGGUAUUGAUGAGGAAAGUGAAAGCAGUGAGGAGAGUCAGUUGGAGAAGCCCCCCGAGGAGGAGGAGAAGAAGGAAGAAGAUAAGAAGGCCCCCAACCCGCAGAAGAGGAGGAGGAAAGGAGACAGGAGCGAGGAGUCAGACAACUCCGAGGAGAGCGACAUCGACAACAAGGUGACCUCGGUCCUCUUCAUGACCAAGAAGAAGACCCCCCCAAAGAGGGAGCGGAAGGCCUCAGGCAGCAGCUCCAGGGGCAACAGCCGCCCGAGCACUCCCAGCUUGGACAGCGGCAGCACGUCCUCCACCCUGCGGGCAGCCUCUAGCAAGCUGGGGCAAGGGAAGCCGCAGACAGAACCCAGUGAUACUCCCCCCGCCAAGCGCCUGAGGCUGGAUGCCGGGCCCCAGAGCAUCGCUAGGAAAUCCACCCCCCAGCCUCAGUCCGGCAAGUCCAUGUCCAGCAGUGAUGAUGUGCAGGUGAUAGAAUGCAAAGUCAGGCGCUACCUGAUCCAAAAGCCCAUGACCGCCAAGGACCUGAUGAAGAAGUUCCAGACCAAAAAUACAGGGCUCAGCAGCCACCAGACAGUCAACAUGCUGGCCCAGAUCUUGAAACGCCUCAAACCGGAGCGCAAGAUGAUCGAUGACAAGAUGCACUUCUUCCUUAAGGAAGAGAAGCGGCCUCCGGCACACAGCAGGGGCAAUAAAAGCUGCUAG